GCAAAUGUGCGCAGGCGCCUAGGGGCUGAGGCGCGAUGGCAGGUGUCGGGGCUCGGCCUCUGCGGGCGAUGGGGCGGCAGGCCCUGCUGCUUCUCGCGCUGUGCGCCACAGGCGCCCAGGGGCUCUACUUCCACAUCGGCGAGACCGAGAAGCGCUGUUUCAUCGAGGAAAUCCCCGACGAGACCAUGAUGUGGGAUAAGCAGAAGGAGGUCUUCCUGCCCUCGACCCCUGGCCUGGGCAUGCACGUGGAAGUGAAGGACCCCGACGGCAAGGUGGUGCUGUCCCGGCAGUACGGCUCGGAGGGCCGCUUCACGUUCACCUCCCACACGCCCGGUGACCAUCAAAUCUGUCUGCACUCCAAUUCUACCAGGAUGGCUCUCUUCGCUGGUGGCAAACUGCGUGUGCAUCUCGACAUCCAGGUUGGGGAGCAUGCCAACAACUACCCUGAGAUUGCUGCAAAAGAUAAGCUGACGGAGCUACAGCUCCGCGCCCGCCAGUUGCUUGAUCAGGUGGAACAGAUUCAGAAGGAGCAGGAUUACCAAAGG
rnacentral:sRNA from 1 species